rnacentral:lncRNA from 1 species
AAUUGCCUGUAAUACAGAUUUAAUUAAUACUUCUCUGCCUGCACGAGAAAGAAAACGAUUACUUCAACUAGUAAUACGUUUCCAAAUGCGAUCCCUCAAGAAAGAGAAAAUUUGCUUUUUACUACGGCCAAUAAGAGAUGGUAACCCCAAAUAAUUACCGCUACCCAAAGGAAGAUGAACAUCAAGUAUACCAGAGAUGGUCAACCGGUUUUCCUCAGACACACACGGACUAAACAUGAUACCAGAAUUAUCAAAAUUUACAGCCUGACCUGAAGCCUUCUCAUAAACACCAAGAAUUUG